GUGUACGGACAAACCAGCUGAAAAAUGCCCAAUCUUGUCUGAUCUCAGAAGCUAAGAAGGCUUGGGCCUGGUUAGUACUUGGAUGGGAGACUACAUGGGAAUACCAGGUGCUGUAAGCU
ensembl:rRNA 5S_rRNA 5S ribosomal RNA